UACACACCGCCCGUCGCACCUACCGAUUGAAUGAUUCGGUGAAAAUUUCGGAUUGCAGCAUUGACACCUUCGGGUGACUUUGCCGUGAGAAGUUAUUUAAACCUCAUCAUUUAGAGGAAGGUGAAGUCGUAACAAGGUUUCCG
rnacentral:rRNA from 1 species